rnacentral:piRNA from 1 species
AAAGUUGAAGUGCUUAGGAAUAGA